AAGUCGUAACAAGGUUUCCGUAGGUGAACCUGCGGAAGGAUCAUUAUGAGAGUUAAUUUUUUUAAGAGUUAUUGUGAAGUGGUGUGCAAGGGGAGAGGGUGUGGUUGAAUUGAUAGGUUAUGCAUGCAUGGGGGGGGGAGCAUGAGAUUUGAUUAUGCAUGCAUGGGUGAUAACAGGACAGACAGACCACUACUACACUACCAAGGGGGGCACACAUAAAAUAACAAGAACGAUAUAUAUAUAUAUAGUAAAUAGAGUGCUUCACAGCACACAACAAACAACUAAUACAAAAUACAACUUUUAACAAUGGAUCUCUAGGCUCUU
rnacentral:misc_RNA from 1 species